UUUUUAAUGUUACUAGUUUCUUAAAUAAAGCUUAAGUCUACAGUGAAAGACCCUCGAGGGGAGACCCUCACUCAGACACUCAAGUCCCGGGACAGCCGCGUACCCAAGAAGACACUGAGACCA
rnacentral:pre_miRNA from 7 species